rnacentral:rRNA from 2 species
UGGGCGUAAGCGCGCGCAGGCGGUUUCUUAAGUCUGAUGUGAAAGCCCACGGCUCAACCGUGGAGGGUCAUUGGAAACUGGGGAACUUGAGUGCCGAAGAGAAAAGCGGAAUUCCACGUGUAGCGGUGAAAUGCGUAGAGAUGUGGAGGAACACCAGUGGCGAAGGCGGCUUUUUGGUCUGUAACUGACGCUGAGGCGCGAAAGCGUGGGGAGCAAACAGGAUUAGAUACCCUGGUAGUCCACGCCGUAAACGAUGAGUGCUAAGUGUUAGAGGGUUUCCGCCCUUUAGUGCUGCAGCUAACGCAUUAAGCACUCCGCCUGGGGAGUACGGUCGCAAGACUGAAACUCAAAGGAAUUGACGGGGG